AAUAGAUACCCGGGUAGUCCACCCCGUAAACGUUGGGAACUAGUUGUGGGGUCCUUUCCACGGAUUCCGUGACGCAGCUAACGCAUUAAGUUCCCCGCCUGGGGAGUACGGCCGCAAGGCUAAAACUCAAAGGAAUUGACGGGGACCCGCACAAGCGGCGGAGCAUGCGGAUUAAUUCGAUGCAACGCGAAGAACCUUACCAAGGCUUGACAUACACCAGAACACCCUAGAAAUAGGGGACUCUUUGGACACUGGUGAACAGGUGGUGCAUGGUUGUCGUCAGCUCGUGUCGUGAGAUGUUGGGUUAAGUCCCGCAACGAGCGCAACCCUCGUUCUAUGUUGCCAGCACGUAAUGGUGGGAACUCAUGGGAUACUGCCGGGGUCAACUCGGAGGAAGGUGGGGAUGACGUCAAAUCAUCAUGCCCCUUAUGUCUUGGGCUUCACGCAUGCUACAAUGGCCGGUACAAAGGGCUGCAAUACCGUGAGUGAGCGAAUCCCAAAAGCGGUCCAGUUCGGAUUGAGGUCUGCAACUCGACCUCAUG
rnacentral:rRNA from 1 species